rnacentral:lncRNA from 1 species
CCAUAAAAUAACCAUAUGAUCUUGGGGGAAUGUUACUCUGGGCCUUAGUUUCGUUGUCUGUAAAAUGAAGAUAAUAACAGUAACCUAGAUCAUAAUCCUAUUGUGACAUAUACAGCUCCACAAACAAUAGAUACUAUUACUUUUAGCUAGGCAUUCUGAAAACCACAGUCUCUGUUGAUGGGAAACUCUAAAAACACAGUUGGUUGUCCCAAGUUCAAAUAGCCCCAUUGAUGAAGAAAAAGGGGCUGCCUCUGAGAUAUAUCACCUUAGCUGGGAUUUUCAGAUGACACAACUGAAAGGGGGCCUGUGGGCACAGGGCUGUGGAUGAAAAUAAAGCAUGGCAGGAGUGCAGAAGAACAAUGCCAGGAAGGCUGCAUUUCAGAGUGACCAAGGCUGAUGAGGAAUGCUAAGGACAACAGAAAGAUUGCUUCAUCCAUAUGAAGAAAGAGGGAGAAGGGAAGCCAUGCCUCCUGCUGGGGCAGAUGGUCUGCUAGUGACAGAUGACAGUGAGAAAGCCGAACAAUCCACUCCCAGGCGUCCUCUGCCUUCUCCACCGGGAAUAAGGAGCUGCAUCUUGGAGAGGCUGGAACAAAUGCCAAAAAGAAGGAUCCAGAGCUUAAAGUAGGAGACGGGAGAGCAGAUCCUGUGGUAGCGAUGGUGAUGAGGCUGCUACUGGUGAUUGUUUGAAAGUGCCAAGAGAUAAGUGCAAGCCAAGCUCCCCCAUCCAGUUUUGCCUGCCUCUCAGGUGGGGGCACGGCUGCCUGUGUGGUGGGGAGUCCAUUCUUUACUGGAGACCAGGGCACUGGCCGGUUAGGGCCCAGCUGCUGGGAGCUCAACCAGGGAGACACAUCCUCAAUGAGUUUCUGCAAGGAUGAUGUCUCAGCCUCACUGCCACACCCACUGCUGCACCUAUCUUCUCCACUGGGAUGCCCCUGAACUUGGCUUCCUAGAGCCUCAGUGUUGGGGAUGGGGAUGGGGCACAGAAGCUGUCCUGUUGGGUGGGACCAGGGUGAGGAGAGUUCUUAGAGCAGACUGGGCCACCAUAGUGUGUUCCAGGGACUCAGACCUCUGUGGCUUCCUCCUUGUCCGGGGGCAAAAGACAACAGUAGACCAUCAUGGAAGACACCAAAAAUACCAGCCAGGGCUGAGUUCAUCCUGUGACAAACACCUGUGCAGCCUCUUUUCAUGUCCAAAUCCCCUCCCAUGAGUAGACACUAUUAUUAUCCCCAUUUUGCAGAUGAGGAAACUGAGGCACAGAGUGGUAAGUAAUACGCCCAAGGUCACUUGGCUAGCCAGCUGCAGAACUGGGGCACAGACCAGGUCCCUUUGAUUCCAAAGUCAAAGCAUAGCUCCUAGUUAUCUGGCCCAAAGCUAUGGUUUCUGGGGAGCCAACAUGGAAGGCAGCAGUCCUGGUAGAGAGCAAGGGAGGAGAACACUUCAGAGGCGACCAGAUCUAGGGCAUCAGCCUAGCCACAAUUCUACAAAAACACUUUAGCCCUAUGUUGUCAAGUCUCAAGGUGGGAGACUUGGGAAAUGAAAUGAAACCCCAUAUCACCUCUCCUUUCUACCACAUGCACCCCCUACCCCCAACACACACUUCUGCUCGUGUCUCUGCAGCUGGGCACUCUCCUUGGCUCACCUGCAAAGUGAGCCCCAGCAGUGAGCCAGGAACCAAAAAGAUAGGAUGGCUUUUAGGAAUCUUGAAGUUCCUCUGAAGACACCACCUAGGGGUGGACCCAGACGGGACAGAUGAGGCUCAGAGCAAGGUAAUCUAAUAAUAAUCACAGUGGCAAUUCAGUAAUAAUUUAUUUUUAUUUAGCAUAAGUAUGGGCCAUUUAAUUAUCAUAAACUUACAAGGUACUAUUAGCCCCAUUUUUGAGAUUAGGAAACUGAAGCUCAGAGAAGUUAAGUAACGUGCUCAAGAUCAUCGGCUCAUUCAAGCCAGUGCUCCACAUCAGGCUUGUCUGACUUCAGAGCGUUCUGCUUUCUCGCUGGAGGAGGAGAGGAAUGAGCUGAAGACCUGGCUAAUCCACAUGAGAAAGAACAGCCUCUUUGUGACAGAACGAUUUAUAAUCCUUUGGGUAUUUAUCCAGUAAUGGGAUUACUGGGUCGAAUGGUAUUUCUGUUUUUAGG